rnacentral:rRNA from 1 species
ACUCCUACGGGAGGCAGCAGUGGGGGAUAUUGCACAAUGGGGGAAACCCUGAUGCAGCGACGCCGCGUGAGUGAAGAAGUAUUUCGGUAUGUAAAGCUCUAUCAGCAGGGACGAAAAUGACGGUACCUGAGUAAGAAGCCCCGGCUAACUACGUGCCAGCAGCCGCGGUAAUACGGAGGGGGCAAGCGCUAUCCGGAUUUACUGGGUGUAAAGGGUGCGUAGGUGGCAUGGCAAGUCAGAAGUGAAAGCCCGGGGCUCAACCCCGCGGACUGCUUUUGAAACUGUCAGGCUGGAGUACAGGAGAGGUAAGCGGAAUUCCUAGUGUAGCGGUGAAAUGCGUAGAUAUUAGGAGGAACACCAGUGGCGAAGGCGGCUUACUGGACUGUAACUGACACUGAGGCACGAAAGCGUGGGGAGCAAACAGGAUUAGAUCCCCGCGUA